UUAUCCUUAUUUCAGGUAAGGAAACCUUGUUUCCAUAACAUUCCAAAGUCAUGAGCUACCCCAAAGGCAUACUGACUGUCAUUAUAAAUAUUUGUGGUUUUGCCCUUGGCUAAAAUACAA